UGGAGACCCAGAAAAACACUAGUGUAAUUCAGUCUGAGGCCUGAGAACCAGGGAGCCACUGGUGUAAGUCCCUUAGUCCAAAGGCCUGAGAACCAGGAGCCCCCCUGUCAGAAGGCAGGAAAAGAUGGAUGUCCCAAUUCAAGGAGAGAGAGAGAAUUCACCCUUCCUUUGUCUUUUUGUUCUAUUCAGGCCCCUAACGGACUGGAUGAUGCUCAGCCACAUUGACCGUAGCUCGGCCUGUGAUUUGCUUUGACCAGUAGAAUGUUGUGGAUGACUCCAUGUAACUUCUGUGGCUGAGCCGUAAGAGAUCUGUAGCUUCCUCUUUCAUGCAGUGGAUCACUCCCUCUCGGAUCCAACCCUUGGACUGUGAGAAGCUCAAGCUACAUAGAAUGGUCACAGUGAGGAGGACUGAGGCAAUUUGGUUGGUGAGCUCCCACGGACAGCCCGUACCAACAGCGAUGUGAAUAAGCCAUCUUGGAGGUUCCAGCCCACUGGAGCUGUCAGAUGACUAUAGUCCCAACAGUACCACAUGAAGCAGAACCACCCAGCUGAGCUCAGCAAACCCAUAGAAUCAGGGGAGAGAAUACCUGAUGCUUGUUUUUGUUUUGUUUUUAAGUCGCUGAGUAGUGCCGUGGUUCGAUAUGCAGUCAUAACUGAAAAAGGUAAUUGGGGAAGCAUAUGUAAAGAGCUUGUGAAGGGGAAGAGCUUGCUAUGUUAACAGAAUAAAAAUGAGGCUCCUUGAGGACAGAGAAUUAUCUUACAUGCACAUUCCCUGGCCAGUUAUAGGGUACUAGAUAGAUGUGCAUGAGUCAUUGAAUGAACCAAUUUAUUUCCAUUCCUCCGCCCAUGAGAUUCUUAUUCAUCCUUUAAGGCUUAACUAAAAUUUGGUCUCUCCCUGCACUAUUCUCUAUUUACUGCAAUUUAUAUACACCUGUAUUUCUCUAAUCUAUUUUUAUACAAAUAAUCAAUGGCACAAGUUGCUACAUUUUUUUAUGUCUAAUUCCUUUGUGUGUGUUAUUGUUUCUUUCCAACCAGCAGCCAUGGACCUUGAAGCUAGAAGCCUGUCCUCAUCCUCAGUCAUUAUUUCCUUUUGGCUCUAAUAUGGUACUAGGCUCAUUAAAUCACUGCUUGUCUGUUGCUAAUACCCAAGAGACUCAAUUCAACACUAAUUCAACAAUGCUAUGCCCACAUGGAAGCAAUAUUCAAUAUAUUUGGGAGGUAGCUGGAUCCAUUUAAUGGUUUUCAAAUAUUGAGGAGCUUGGGAAAAUGUGUUUGUGUAUUUUAGGUGUGGUUCCAGUUACCUAACUUUUGGCAACCAUUUAAAUUUAUUGCGUAAACUUCUUAGGUUCCAUGAAAGAGUAUAAGAACCCUUAAUAAGUGAAACAGAAGCCCUGUGAGUCAAAUAAAAAUAAUAGCUUCAGAUUGGACCUUCAGUAAGGAAAUAAUUGUCAAGUAAAUAAACUUGCAAGGGUUCUACUUCAUUACGUUACUCAGCGAUGCAUCGGCUAAUGGUUGUUUCAAGAAAGAAAGUGGUAACUAACAGACAGGGGUUCUUGAUACUGGCCUCCAAGGUACCUGACUUGUCACAAAGGCAAGCGGGGCACAUUUUCCUUUAAGUGGAGAAAAUGAAAAUAAAACAUGAAAGCUCCCUCGAAUAUCUAACGUAGAUCUUGUGUAGAUACACACAAGACACUCAGGAUGGUAUUAGUAUAAGUAGGUAUCAGGUUAUAAAGAAAAUCAGGAUAUAAUCUUGUGAGAUACUGAAUGGAACCAGAAAGGUUGUUUCACAAUAAUUUAAACAUUUUUUAAAGUUUGUGUAUUUCUUCUCAAAGCACACUUUUUCCCCUCUUCGUUACAAGAAAAUUAGAACGGACACCUUUCAAAGGCUCUCAAGGUAGGAUAGCUGUAUUCUGCAGUGAAUACCAGAGAAACCACAGAAUAAUUACAAAGAAAAUACCUAAGCCAAAGCCAAUCAAAACAGCCCCUACAGGCUUCAGCAGGCUUCCUUCAGGCCUGAUUCUUCCUAAAAGGAGAAAUGCUUUAUGCAAUCUAUUGAUAAGAUAUGAGACAGACAAAAAUCCUAUUGACUCCCACAUGCUGCUCGUUUUUAGACGGAGAAGCACAUUGUCUACUAUCAAAUAGGAAUUUUUCUUUGUAAUAUGCUUCAAUUAUCUGUCCAGAUCACUGCUCUGUAAGCUGCUAUAAAUAAAACACAUUAUUUAUAAUGAAAGUUGGAAGAGCAGACAGAUGAAUGAGUUUUCAAACAUGCAGCUUUCCAGCAACGCCAGAGUCCAACACAUAAUGUCAUCUAAACAUAUGAGUCUGUCCAUUAGAAGCCCUUUCUUUCCAGGAUGCCUUUUAAAACAAAUCUCAUUUUACUAUCCUAUUGUAAAAUGUUUUUGAGUUAAGCAGGGUCUACUUAUAUCACUUAGCAUUUCUCGCAGUAUAGUAGAGAGCUAGAACAGCUUAGCUGUAUUUUCUUUUAAUAUGAGAAGCUAAUUUUGAUCUCUCUCCUCCCACUCAAACUUUUAGUAUUACAGCCAGAGAAGCAGAGGGGAGAUUGACGACAGAGUCAGGGAGAGAGUUACCCACUGGCCACUCUGAUCUCUCAGUCUGUCAUUUGAUGACAUAAUAGGUAAGAAAACAUGAAAGCAGGGGUCAAUUUUUCUAACCUACCAGAUUAAGUUUGCUCCCUCCUGAGCCAACCAUUAUGGACAUCUGAGCCAUGUGGCAUUAGUGGUAAUGACUGUAAACACAGUGUAUAGAAAGUCAGAUACUGUGCAAGUUAUGAGAUAAAAGAUAACAAAGCCUAUUUGAAAGAUAAAUGUGUGUAUCCAGUGUGUGUAUCCAGUAGUUGAAACAGUUAGUUAGGGGAAGGAAAGUAGUAAUUAUUCCCAUCUUAAAUUAAGCAACUUGGUUGGUUAACACUGACGCUAAACCACGUGCUUUUAACCACUACCCACUGCUACAUCCGUAAAGUUAUGAUUAUAGAUUUCUGGAGUUAUCCAGAAAAAGCCACCAGUCAUAGGAAGACCCUGGUUCACUUGCUAUCAAUAUUCCUCAAAAC